GAGAGAGACUGCAACGGAAGUUCAUUAAUGUGGAAUACAUAUUCAAGUCUUGUCGGAUACCAUAUGAAAUUCGUUUGAUAUUUUCCUACCCAAGUCUCCAAAAGCUUCAAUGGAUUAUGAUCAAUAUAUAUGAUUGCCUCAGAUACAUUACUAGCAACUUUUGAUGGUGUUCAGCAGAAACACAAGGAGAUACAUCAGGUACAAACUGAGAACUGAGUGAACACUGUCCGAAUGAAUAAGAACUUCAACAGUUUCUAGCUGGCUGAUCGAUGCACAGAGUUAUUGCUCUUCUCUAUUGCAUGAGAUCCGACAUUUAUAGAAAAUGAACAGCUGGUAAGAGGCCGCAAUCGUGAAGAGUGGAGAGACAAACAUCAUCGGGUUUUUUGAGGAUCAGACAGUGACAGCAACUGUUUUCAAACAGUUGGAGUACACCAUGUGCUACAGCCCUUCGUACUGCUGGAUCAUCUGUCUGUCACUGGGUCCCUUUUUCACAGAAAAAGACAGGAAACAGCAGCAAGUUCCCAGGACCAUCACCCAGCUCUAUUCCUAUUAUAUUUAUAACAUUCUGCAAAACCAUGGCCGAGAGCUUGAA